rnacentral:rRNA from 1 species
UACGUAGGGGGCUAGCGUUGUCCGGAAUCAUUGGGCGUAAAGCGCGCGUAGGCGGCCAGAUAAGUCCGGUGUGAAAGUCACAGGCUCAACCUGUGAAUGCCGCUGGAAACUGUCUGGCUUGAGUCCGGAAGGGGCGAGUGGAAUUCCUGGUGUAGCGGUGAAAUGCGCAGAUAUCAGGAGGAACACCGGUGGCGAAGGCGGAUCUCUGGGCCUUACCUGACGCUGAGGAGCGAAAGCAUGGGGGAGCAAACAGG